UACGUAGGGGGCAAGCGUUGUCCGGAUUUAUUGGGCGUAAAGAGCGUGUAGGCGGCUAGAUAGGUCCGUUGUGAAAACUCGAGGCUCAACCUCGAGACGUCGAUGGAAACCAUCUGGCUAGAGUCCGGAAGAGGAGAGUGGAAUUCCUGGUGUAGCGGUGAAAUGCGCAGAUAUCAGGAAGAACACCCGUGGCGAAGGCGGCUCUCUGGUACGUGACUGACGCUGAGACGCGAAAGCGUGGGGAGCAAACGGG
rnacentral:rRNA from 1 species